UGGCUCAGUCGGUAGAGCAUCUGACUCUUGAUCUCAGAGUUGUGAGUUCAAGUCCCAC
rnacentral:tRNA from 1 species